GACGUACCGUACGAACGUUAUUCGGAAUUACUGGGCUUAAAGGGUGUGUAGGCGGCGCAGUAAGUUGGGUGUGAAAUCCCUCGGCUUAACCGAGGAAUUGCGCCCAAAACUACUGUGCUCGAGGGAGGUAGAGGUGAGCGGAACUUAGGGUGGAGCGGUGAAAUGCGUUGAUAUCCUAAGGAACACCGGUGGCGAAAGCGGCUCACUGGACCGCUUCUGACGCUGAGGCACGAAAGCUAGGGUAGCAAACGGG
rnacentral:rRNA from 1 species